rnacentral:rRNA from 1 species
AUUGAACGCUGGCGGCAGGCCUAACACAUGCAAGUCGAGCGGAGCGGCGGACGGGUGAGUAAUGCCUAGUAAUCUGCCUGUUAGUGGGGUAUAACGUCCGGAAACGGGCGCUAAUACCGCAUACUAUCAGAUGAGCCUAGGUCGUAUUAGCUAGUUGGUGGGGUAAAGGCCUACCAAGGCGACGAUCCGUAACUGGUCUGAGAGGAUGAUCAGUCACACUGGAACUGAGACACGGUCCAGACUCCUACGGGAGGCAGCAGUGGGGAAUAUUGGACAAUGGGCGAAAGCCUGACCCAGCAAUGACGCGUGUGUGAAGAAGGUCUUCGGAUUGUAAAGCACUGUAAGUUGGGAGGCGUUACCAACAGAAUAAGCAACGGCUAACUUCGUGCCAGCAGCCGCGGUAAUAC